CGUGCUCGACUGAAUUUCCCCACUAAAACAACGCUAAUGAACAUCAUUCAGGCAAUGUCACAGUAAAACCGCUACAAGUUACUCCGAUGCAACCUUUUAAACCAGUAUUAAGACCACGCCAGGCUUUAAUUCUCCUCUCCACUCCCCUCAUUUUCUCCCUCAAUACAGCCCGUCAAUGUACAAAGUGAACAGCGGGAGCCCCGGUGGCAGCAGCCCCGUCCUAUCAGGGCCUGGGCAUCACUACAGCGAGGCAUCUCUGUGCACAGCGAGCAGAAGGGGAGAUUACUCUGUGCUCACAUCAAAGGAGGUUUGUCUAACUUGGGUCUGGCGUUGUGUGCUGGUAGAGCGGGUCCUUGGAGCAGCCUCGCCGUCCUUAUCUCUCCCCCACAGACUCCCUCUGCCUUUCUGCUGCAACACAACUAGCUGCUGGUAACACUGACGCAUGCAGUGGAGGCUCUGCACGGUCAAAUGUGCACAUAGAUGAACACAAGUGCACGUUCUCUCGUAUGAAAACACACACGUACACAAUGAAAAACACACAACAUUGAGGCAGCUCUUUUUUUCUCCUGAUAUUAGCAGAAUUUGUUCUGCUGAGUGAGUCUCUCUCCCCCUCUCUCUCUCUCUCUCUCUCUCCUGCAGUCUCUGCAGAGAGCUGAACCUGGUUCAGUGAAUAUUUGAAAUUGGUUAAAUGAUUAUCCCUGGACAGAUGGCUCCCAGAGGAACCCACUAUACUUGGAUUUGAGGUAAAACACUUCAAAAAACUCAUAGCAAUAACCACUAUAGACGACAAAUGUGUAGCUAGAAAAAUAUAAACAAACUGUUUCCUCCGAUAAGCAGGACGGCUUUUCUGCUGUGUCAUUGCUUGAACAAUUAAAGCCCCAUAUCAAAAGUAACCUGAAGCACAGCAGUGCUGUAAGCCAAAUGCUAAUGUCAGCAUGCUUUCCUUUUCCCAGCGUCAGUGGUAAAUGUUUAGGUACAGGAAAUCUUUACCAUCUUAGUUAUGUGUUUCAUCCACUGAGUGUAUAUAAAAGGAGGGUCAAGCCUCUGGGUUUUUGUACUCAGUGUAGAAGUACCUUAAACCUACAUUCUUUACUGCCACCAGAAGGAGACUUCAAUUGAUUGCAAAGAAAGGACUGCUCGCCUGGAAUCAGAUGGGGAAAGGACCCCUAUACUUCUCAGCUGAUUUAUUACCUUGGUUAACAAUUUCUGUAUGAGUUCAUGACUUCAAUCACGAGUAUCUGAUAAAGCGGGGUAAUCACCUGAUGAAUCACAGAAAGAUGUAUUAGGCUUUACAUGUCUCACAACAACAAUAACAUCACAAAGCAGUGGUACUGUGAUAUUUUACUAAUGUAACGUAGUGCCAUCAAACAAUAACGUCACAAUAUCUAAUAAAGUACUGAGUAUGUAGCACCCGGUCAAAAGGUAAAUUGUUCACUGUCUUUUAGUUUGUUUUGACUGAUUUUUUACAGCUUGUUUUUGGUCUUUAUAUUAAAUUUACAUAAUAAUACACUAACUGAGCCAAGUGUUAGUUCAGCCAGGCAACAAACUCAAGCUCAGCCCACAGUUCACCAUCCCAUUAUAAGCUGACAGCUCAGCUGAUUACCUCAGUCACAACCAAAGGAAAAUAUCAAAAUGGCUGUUGUGUUUAAAUCACUUUAGUCUACAUACUCUUCUCGCUUCCUUCGCAAAUCUCUUUGCAUCAACAGCUGCCUCAGCCCCAGCAGAAGCCUUGUACUCUGCAGGUCUUUGCUGCUGCUCUCCCUGCCUUGGGGAGGGUGUGAGUGUUGUCCCUGCCUCAGGAUUUGGUGUACCCAUAGACUGUUUAAAGAAUGGGCCCAAUCUCCAACCACAAGAACAGCACCCUCUGGUGACGGGCUGCAGUAUAGGUCAUUAAUCCCACCUCCUCCAGCAAAGCUUAUGGAGCUGUGGACAAACUUUAGAGAUUUAUCACACAGAAUAUAAUUUUUUUCUCCCCCCUGGUUUUGAUUUUGACAUGUAGUUACAGUCAGACUGGUUUGUGCUCAAGUCCUCUUUUUUCUGUACAGCUCCAUUUUUAAAAGUUAUGUGGGGGUUCAUGUUUUCUAUGAUUAACACUUGAUAAAGCCUAUGGGCGUAUGAAGACUGUGUCGCUCAUCAGGGGGAUACGCUGUUUAAACCGCGCGUCACCGCAGCGACAUUCCAGCCAAUGGGUACAACGCUACUGCGCAAGUGGUGGUUCCAAGAAAUGGAGAAAAUCCUGGAAAUACCGAGAGCAAUUUAGCUUCAAACUCGUGUAAUGACAGAAGGCAGAGCCAAGUUGUCCAUAGUAUAUACAACGUAUGGGUUUACCACAUGUAUAUAUGUUGAAGGGCAGGCCACUCUCCUGUCAGAGCCAAACCACCACCAAUAUAACUCGUGUGAAAAUAACCAGUACUCUUCAUAAUCAAUACUCUUUUGACAAAAGUGGUCCUGACUGAACUAGAUGACAACAGAAAAGUUCAUAAACAUCUUUAUAAAGACGACACUUCAGUGUUUGAUGAACAUAUCCAGCUUGUAUGUCAGUGUCAAGAUUUUCUUCCAACCUGAAUAACUAGACCUGUUGCAGCUACAGCCACAUUCACCCAAAUGUUUUUUUAAUAGAGAUUAUUGAAAUAUAUAAUUGUUUUCAGAGGUAAGCUGCUUUGAACCAAAGGCUACUUUAACUCUCGACAUAUGGUCUGUUUUUCCUCGAACAACCAAAAGCCUACUACUCAAAAAAAACAAGAAGAGACCAGAAUAGUUUCCCUCGCCUCAAAACUCUGCAUCGCAGUGCUGAUGCCAGUUUGGCAAGAGUUGUAAAAAUAUUGAGCGAACUGAAGGUUUGACCUGAAAAUAUUGCUGUAUAACAGGUCAGGGACUCACCCAGGUUUUUUACAGGUCAUCCUAUUGAGGACAUGAAGGUGUGGAACAAAUUUGCUGGCAAAAUUUCCAACAGUUGUCCAGACGUUUCAUAAGAAGCAGAAGAGGUACUGACAUCUCUCUAAAAAGUGAAAAAAAAGACAGAUUUUCUAAAAAUACAGCCCUCCUCCUGCAGCUCUUCCCCUCUCUGUUACCCCAGCCCACCCACUCUUCAUCUCAGCCCAGCAGCCACAAUGCUGAUAUGCUCAAUAAAGAUGUUUUAUUUUCCUCUGCCCACUGCAAAGGCUUUUUUUUCUCCUCAUGCAUUUUAUUCACAAUGAAAAAAUCUUUUAAAGGUAUCUUCACAUGGAGAAGUAAUUUGCAGGAUGAGGUUGCUAAAGCUGGGCUGAUGCUGGGAUGUUCUACCAAUGGCUUCAAAUAUUAAUCAAUCAUGCUGUACACAAUGAGGCUAAUCUGACCACAAUGCAUCAUGCACCACACUUUUACUGUAUGACACAUACAUAGGUCUUCACAUUAUGUGCAAAGAUAUCUAAUCAGUUUUGGAUAUAACUCUAUGAUGUGGGGCAGCUGAAAUGAUCCUCUGUGCUUUCUGUCAGACAUAUUCAAGUUUGUUGAGUCUCAUUUUCCGGUCAAAUCAAGACAAAAAUAUAAAAAUGAGAGGGAAAGGAUUCUGAUUCGACAGCAAGACUAAGUCUAAAACUGAUUAACUGGAUACCAGUAAAACAUUAACCCAGUUCUGCCUGCUGGAAAAAUCAGCUUUUCCUUUAGACCUGCAUAUCAGACACACAGUGCCCCCUUGUGGUGAAACUUUUCUAUUACAGCUACAGCACAGGACUCACAGUAGGAACCUUUGAGUCUGGUUAAAAGGUUGAAAAGAGGACUAAUAAAGCGGACUUCUUUAAACACACAGCAUGCUUAUUUUGGUCGGGUCCAAACACACCCUGCACUAAUACUACGAUGGCAUCUGCCCCAGCUUUCGCAUGCUUUCACACUUAGAUGAAUUAUGAAUGAAAUGUUUGUCCUCUGCUCUAUUUGUCCAUGAGAUCGAGCGUCGCCCAAGUUAAAUAAAUCACUGGAACCUUCAUUCACAAAUAUCAGCCGGCUCCCAUCAAAUAAACUUUGUCCUUGGCAUCAUUUCAACAUCUCCGUCCCUGUUUUGAUUCCAAAAGU